rnacentral:rRNA from 1 species
UACGGAGGGUCCAAGCGUUAUCCGGAAUCAUUGGGUUUAAAGGGUCCGUAGGCGGUUUUGUAAGUCAGUGGUGAAAGCCCAUCGCUCAACGGUGGAACGGCCAUUGAUACUGCAAGACUUGAAUUAUUGAGAAGUAACUAGAAUAUGUAGUGUAGCGGUGAAAUGCUUAGAGAUUACAUGGAAUACCAAUUGCGAAGGCAGGUUACUACCAAUAUAUUGACGCUGAUGGACGAAAGCGUGGGGAGCGAACAGG